rnacentral:lncRNA from 1 species
UCAUUAACUCAGCCAAGGUACACUACAUCUUAUGCAUAUGGAAGUUCAUGAUGAACUGACCAUAUGCAUCAGACAAGGACUGAAGGAUCACAUCAAUCUGAAAAUCUCUGUCUAAGAUGACACCGAGCUUCUCAAGCUCCUCAAGGUCCUUGAUCAUUGUCAAACAAUGAUCUUGGACUGACUGCCCAUCAUGCAUUUUAGCCUUAAAAAGUCUUUGGCAGACUUGAUACUUGGCUGC